UACGUAGGGGGCAAGCGUUGUCCGGAUUUAUUGGGCGUAAAGCGUGCGCAGGCGGUUUUGUAAGUCUGUCGUGAAAUCCCCGGGCUCAACCUGGGAAUUGCGAUGGAGACUGCAAGGCUAGAAUCUGGCAGAGGGGGGUAGAAUUCCACGUGUAGCAGUGAAAUGCGUAGAGAUGUGGAGGAACACCGAUGGCGAAGGCAGCCCCCUGGGUCAAGAUUGACGCUCAUGCACGAAAGCGUGGGGAGCAAACAGG
rnacentral:rRNA from 1 species